AGUUGCUCAUUCAACCAGAUAUGACAGGGCUUCAGGGUAGGAAGCCAGAAACUUCAUAACGCCAGAAUGACGCCAAAAACGGUGCCUAUCGUCCAACAUAACCGAUAAUGUCCUAAGGGACAUUAACAAGCAUAGGGCGACACGUUGAGUGAGGCACCUCCUU
rnacentral:sRNA from 1 species